rnacentral:rRNA from 1 species
GGUUAACGGGGGAUUAGGGUUCGAUUCCGGAGAGGGAGCCUGAGAAACGGCUACCACAUCUAAGGAAGGCAGCAGGCGCGCAAAUUACCCAAUUCUAACAGUUUGAGAGAGGUAGUAACAAGAAAUAACAAUACAAGGCAGUUAAAAUGCUUUGUAAUUGGAAUGAUAGAAAUUUAAACCCUUUUUAAAGUAUCAAUUGGAGGGCAAGUCUGGUGCCAGCAGCCGCGGUAAUUCCAGCUCCAAUAGCGUAUAUUAAAAUUGUUGCAGUUAAAAAGCUCGUAGUUGAAGUUCUGCUAAAAGUAACCGGUCUGCUUUUAAUAAAAGUGGUAUCUUGGUGUGUAUUUAGCAAUGAUGUCCUUUGAAGUGUUUUUUACUUUAUUGUAAUAAAGCAUAUUCAGGACUUUUACUUUGAGAAAAUUAGAGUGUUUCUAGCAGGCUGACGCUUUGAAUACUGCAGCAUGGAAAUAAUAAGAUAGGAUUUUAGUUCUACAUUAUUGGUUUUAAGAGCUAAAUUAAUGAUUGAUAGGGACAGUUGGGGGGCAUUUGUAUUUAACUGUCAGAGGU